rnacentral:tRNA from 4 species
GGCGGGAUGCUGGAGAUUGGUUUAACAGGCUUGUCUUGAAAACAAGUGUACCAGAAAUGGUACCGUAGGUUCGAAUCCUACUCCCGCCG